rnacentral:rRNA from 1 species
GCCCGGUAGUGGGGGAUAACCUGGGGAAACCCAGGCUAAUACCGCAUACGUCCUACGGGAGAAAGCAGGGGAUCUUCGGACCUUGCGCUAUCGGAUGAGCCUAUGUCGGAUUAGCUUGUUGGUGAGGUAAUGGCUCACCAAGGCGACGAUCCGUAACUGGUCUGAGAGGAUGAUCAGCCACAUCGGGACUGAGACACGGCCCGAACUCCUACGGGAGGCAGCAGUGGGGAAUAUUGGACAAUGGGCGAAAGCCUGAUCCAGCCAUGCCGCGUGUGUGAAGAAGGCUUUCGGGUUGUAAAGCACUUUCAGUGAGGAAGAAGGCCUUGGGGCUAAUACCCCCGAGGAAGGACAUCACUCACAGCGGG